rnacentral:rRNA from 1 species
UUUCCGGUUGAUCCCGCCGGACCUGACUGCUAUCGGAUUGAUACUAAGCCAUGCGAGUCUUUGUAGUAAUACAAGGCAGACGGCUCAGUAACACGUAGUCAACCUACCCUAUGGACAAGAAUAAUCUCGGGAAACUGGGCAUAAUUCUUGAUAGAUCAUAAUGCCUGGAAUGGUUUAUGGUUAAAAUGAUUCGUCGCCAUAGGAUGGGACUGCGGCCUAUCAGCUUGUUGGUGAGGUAAUGGCCCACCAAGGCGAUUACAGGUACGGGCUCUGAGAGGAGAAGCCCGGAGAUGGGUACUGAGACACGGACCCAGGCCCUAUGGGGCGCAGCAGGCGAGAAAACUUUGCAAUGUGCGAAAGCACGACAAGGUUAAUCCGAGUGAUUUCUGCUAAAGAAAUCUUUUGCCAGUCAUAAAACCACUGGUGAAUAAGGGGUGGGCAAGUUCUGGUGUCAGCCGCCGCGGUAAAACCAGCACCUCAAGUGGUCAGGAUGAUUAUUGGGCCUAAAGCAUCCGUAGCCGGCUUUGUUAGUUUUCGGUUAAAUCCAUGUGCUCAACGCAUGGGCUGCCGAAAAUACUGCAUGGCUAGGGAGUGGGAGAGGUAGACGGUACUUAGUAGGAAGGGGUAAAAUCCUUUGAUCUAUUGAUGACCACCUGUGGCGAAGGCGGUCUACCAGAACACGUUCGACGGUGAGGGAUGAAAGCUGGGGGAGCAAACCGGAUUAGAUACCCGGGUAGUCCCAGCUGUAAACGAUGCAGACUCGAUGAUGCAUUGGCAUAAUAGCCAGUGCAGUGUCGCAGGGAAGCCGUUAAGUCUGCCGCCUGGGAAGUACGUACGCAAGUAUGAAACUUAAAGGAAUUGGCGGGGGAGCACCACAAGGGGUGAAGCCUGCGGUUCAAUUGGAUUCAACGCCGGGA